rnacentral:rRNA from 1 species
GACGAACGCUGGCGGCGUGCUUAACACAUGCAAGUCGAACGAAGUGGCGAACGGGUGAGUAAUACGUGGGUAACUUGCCCUCAUUUUUGGGAUAAGCCUUGGAAACGGGGUCUAAUACCGAAUAAAGGGGGAUGGGCUCGCGGCCUAUCAGCUUGUUGCUGGGGUGAUGGCCUACGAAGGCGUGGACGGGUAGCCGGCCUGAGAGGGUGACCGGCGACGAUUGGACUGAGGUAGGGCCCAGGCUGCUACGGGAGGCAGCAGUGGGGGGUGUUGCACAAUGGGCUGAAGACUGAGGCAGCGACGCCGCGUGGGGGAAGACGGCCUUCGGGUUGUAAACUCCUUUCACCAUCGACGCGGUAGAUGGAGAAGAAGCACCGGCGAACUACGUGCCAGCCGCCGCGGUAAUAC